UACAGAGGGUGCGAGCGUUGUCCGGAAUUACUGGGCGUAAAGCGUGCGUAGACGGCUAUCUAAGUCGGGUGUGAAAGCCCCGGGCUCAACCUGGGAAUUGCAUUCGAGACUGAAUAGCUAGGGUACGGUAGAGGGAAGCGGAAUUUCCGGUGUAGCGGUGAAAUGCGUAGAUAUCGGAAGGAACAUCAGUGGCGAAAGCGGCUUCCUGGACCAGUACCGACGUCAGGCACGAAAGCGUGGGGAGCAAACAGG
rnacentral:rRNA from 1 species